AACGCACAUUGCGCCCCUUGGUAUUCCAUGGGGCAUGCCUGUUCGAGCGUCAUUUGUACCUUCAAGCUCUGCUUGGUGUUGGGUGUUUGUCUCGCCUCUGCGCGUAGACUCGCCUCAAAACAAUUGGCAGCCGGCGUAUUGAUUUCGGAGCGCAGUACAUCUCGCGCUUUGCACUCAUAACGACGACGUCCAAAAGUACAUUUUUUACACUCUUGACCUCGGAUCAGGUAGGGAUACCCGCUGAACUUAA
rnacentral:misc_RNA from 1 species